rnacentral:RNase_P_RNA from 1 species
GAGAGGGAGUGAGCGGCUGACGGUGGCCUUAGUGCCGCUGAGGAAAGUCCUCCCACCCACCGGGCACGCAGCCGUACGCAAGUACGGGUGGCGAGAGUCACGGCAAUGGCACAGAAACGACACGGCCUGUUCCCAGUUAUGAUACGGCUGAGAUUUCCGUGAGGGAAUCGAGAAGUGCGGGCUGACCCCCGCACGAGUAACCCGCUGAGCGCUUUAACGGAACAGGAUACGAUGAAACGGCGAAACCCUGCGGGUGCAAGCCAGAACAGGGCAUAUGGAUCGCUCGGUAUCCGCCCGGGUUUGGCGCAGAGCUGAAUGCCGCACGAACAAAAGGAGGCUUACUCCUCCCACUC